rnacentral:rRNA from 1 species
CAGGGAUUGCCUCAGUAACGGCGAGUGAAGCGGCAAGAGCUCAAAUUUGAAAGCUGGCUUUACGGCCCGCGUUGUAAUUUGCAGAGGAUGCCUCGGGUGCGGUGCCGGUCUAAGUUCUCUGGAACGAGACGUCAUAGAGGGUGAGAAUCCCGUAUGUGACUGGUGGCCUGCGCCUGUGUGAGGCUCCUUCGACGAGUCGAGUUGUUUGGGAAUGCAGCUCCAAGCGGGUGGUGUACUUCAUCUAAAGCUAAAUAUUGGCCAAAGACCGAUAGCGCACAAGUAGAGUGAUCGAAAGAUGAAAAGCACUUUGGAAAGAGAGUUAAACAGUACGUGAAAUUGUUGAAAGGGAAGCGCUUGCAAUCAGACUUGCGCGGCGUCGAUCAGCCUGGGUUCUCCCUGGUGCACUCGGCGCCGCUCAGGCCAGCAUCAGUUUCGGCGGUUGGAUAAAGGCCUAGGGAACGUGGGUCGCCUCGGCGACCGUUAUAGCCCUAGGUGCCAUGCAGCCUGCCGGGACUGAGGACCGCGCUUCGGCUAGGAUGCUGGCGUAAUGGUUGUAAGCGACCCGUCUUGAAACACGGACCAAGGAGUCUAACAUUUAUGCGAGUAUUUGGGUGUAAAACCCAUAUGCGUAAUGAAAGUGAACGGAGGUGAGAACCCUUAAGGGCGCAUCAUCGACCGAUCCUGAUGUCUUCGGAUGGAUUUGAGUAAGAGCAUAACUGUUGGGACCCGAAAGAUGGUAGACCGGCAAGUUUAGCCAUCGGCAACGCGUAUUCGUACGUCGUUAGUCGGCGCCUUGCGCCGGCGACACGCCCAAGGUGCGGAGAGGACCUGGAUUUCCAGGUCAACCCGCAGCCCGCCCCCCUUACCCGGGGGUGGGUUCAGAGACUCAAUAGGCGUGGGUCUGGCAGCGGCCAGGCUUGAGAUAGAGCCCAGCCCAGCGGGUAACAGCUGGGACCAACUGGAACUAUGCCUGAAUAGGGUGAAGCCAGAGGAAACUCUGGUGGAGGCUCGCAGCGGUUCUGACGUGCAAAUCGAUCGUCAAAUUUGGGUAUAGGGGCGAAAGACUAAUCGAACCAUUGAACUUAGGCACCUAGCUGCUAGGUGGUUGAGAGGCCUACGGGCCUAGUCGCUCCGGCGGCUACACUGCAAGACUGCGAGGACCGCUCGAUAGGCGCAGGCUACCACAGCGGGCUCGAAAGGGCCCGCCACGGUCACAAAGCCUGGCGUCUGAGCCGAUCCGCAACCAACGCCUACCGCACCACCUGGGUUACCCGGGGGCUGCCAUGGCGCGGGCUCAUCGACUAGAUGGCUGUGGGUGGAGCAUGGCUCCGCCUAAGGGAUAGUCAGACCCCGGCGGCUACGCUGGGGUGAAUCG